UGCAGUCGACGAUGAAGCCCAGCUUGCUGGGUGGAUUAGUGGCGAACGGGUGAGUAACACGUGAGUAACCUGCCCUUAACUCUGGGAUAAGCCUGGGAAACUGGGUCUAAUACCGGAUAGGAGCGUCCACCGCAUGGUGGGUGUUGGAAAGAUUUAUCGGUUUUGGAUGGACUCGCGGCCUAUCAGCUUGUUGGUGAGGUAAUGGCUCACCAAGGCGACGACGGGUAGCCGGCCUGAGAGGGUGACCGGCCACACUGGGACUGAGACACGGCCCAGACUCCUACGGGAGGCAGCAGUGGGGAAUAUUGCACAAUGGGCGCAAGCCUGAUGCAGCGACGCCGCGUGAGGGAUGACGGCCUUCGGGUUGUAAACCUCUUUCAGUAGGGAAGAAGCGAAAGUGACGGUACCUGCAGAAGAAGCACCGGCUAACUACGUGCCAGCAGCCGCGGUAAUACGUAGGGUGCGAGCGUUAUCCGGAAUUAUUGGGCGUAAAGAGCUCGUAGGCGGUUUGUCGCGUCUGUCGUGAAAGUCCGGGGCUUAACCCCGGAUCUGCGGUGGGUACGGGCAGACUAGAGUGCAGUAGGGGAGACUGGAAUUCCUGGUGUAGCGGUGGAAUGCGCAGAUAUCAGGAGGAACACCGAUGGCGAAGGCAGGUCUCUGGGCUGUAACUGACGCUGAGGAGCGAAAGCAUGGGGAGCGAACAGGAUUAGAUACCCUGGUAGUCCAUGCCGUAAACGUUGGGCACUAGGUGUGGGGACCAUUCCACGGUUUCCGCGCCGCAGCUAACGCAUUAAGUGCCCCGCCUGGGGAGUACGGCCGCAAGGGCUAAAACUCAAAGGAAUUGACGGGGUUCGUAGGCGGUUUGUCGCGUCUGUCGUGAAAGUUCCGGGGGCUUAAACCCCGGAUUCUGCGGUGGGUACGGGCAGACUAGAGUGCAGUAGGGGAGACUGGAAUUCCUGGUGUAGCGGUGGAAUGCGCAGAUAUCAGGAGGAACACCGAUGGCGAAGGCAGGUCUCUGGGCUGUAACUGACGCUGAGGAGCGAAAGCAUGGGGAGCGAACAGGAUUAGAUACCCUGGUAGUCCAUGCCGUAAACGUUGGGCACUAGGUGUGGGGACCAUUCCACGGUUUCCGCGCCGCAGCUAACGCAUUAAGUGCCCCGCCUGGGGAGUACGGCCGCAAGGCUAAAACUCAAAGGAAUUGACGGGGGCCCGCACAAGCGGCGGAGCAUGCGGAUUAAUUCGAUGCAACGCGAAGAACCUUACCAAGGCUUGACAUGUUCUCGAUCGCCGUAGAGAUACGGUUUCCCCUUUGGGGUGGGUUCACAGGUGGUGCAUGGUUGUCGUCAGCUCGUGUCGUGAGAUGUUGGGUUAAGUCCCGCAACGAGCGCAACCCUCGUUCCAUGUUGCCAGCACGUCGUGGUGGGGACUCAUGGGAGACUGCCGGGGUCAACUCGGAGGAAGGUGAGGACGACGUCAAAUCAUCAUGCCCCUUAUGUCUUGGGCUUCACGCAUGCUACAAUGGCCGGUACAAUGGGUUGCGAUACUGUGAGGUGGAGCUAAUCCCAAAAAGCCGGUCUCAGUUCGGAUUGGGGUCUGCAACUCGACCCCAUGAAGUCGGAGUCGCUAGUAAUCGCAGAUCAGCAACGCUGCGGUGAAUACGUUCCCGGGCCUUGUACACACCGCCCGUCAAGUCACGAAAGUUGGUAACACCCGAAGCCGGUGGCCUAACCCUUGU
rnacentral:rRNA from 1 species